rnacentral:rRNA from 1 species
UACGGGGGGGGCAAGCGUUGUUCGGAAUUACUGGGCGUAAAGGGUUUGUAGGUGGCUUGCUAAGUCAGACGUGAAAUCCCUCAGCUUAACUGGGGAACUGCGUCUGAGACUGGCAAGCUUGAGUGCAGGAGAGGAACGCGGAAUUCCAGGUGUAGCGGUGAAAUGCGUAGAUAUCUGGAGGAACACCGGUGGCGAAGGCGGUUCUCUGGGCCUGACCUGACGCUGAGGAGCGAAAGCGUGGGGAGCGAACAGG